UUUUUAUAUUAAUAAUAAUGUAUUUUAAACUCAAAAUACAUUCAUGGUGCUUCGAUUAUAGAUUUUAGGAUAGACCUCUACUAUUAUACUUUUAUUUCUGUAAUUUCUGUAUCAUUUGAGAGGUAAAAUUCUAUAAGAAGCUUCAAUAUCAAAUUCUCUAGUUACAGCUCUAAAAAAUGGUAGAAAUUCAUUUUUUUACAAUAUAUUGAUAUAAAUAAUCUGGAAAUUAAUUAUUUAUUUUAUCUUAAUUUAAAAUUUAUUUUUACAGAAGGAGAAAAAUUAUUCUCAUGAAGAUAGUGAUUCGGAUAUAGAUGAUGAGGCACUAGCGAGGAAACUUCAAGAAGAAGAAGUCCAAUCCAGGAGUCGAGCUGUGAAAAAAACUUCUAACAAAAAAGAAAGAAAGGAACCAAAAAAACCUAAACAGAUUGUAAGAACUAAGAAAGAGACAACAUAUACAAAAAAGUGUAUUUUAUCAUCUGAAUUAGCUGCAGUUGUUGGAGCUAAUGAGAUGGCCAGGCAUGAUGUUGUAAAAAAGAUGUGGGAAAUAGCUCGUGAAAGAAAUUUAUUUGAUCCAAAAAAUAAACAGUUUGCAAUCUGUGAUGAUCAAUUACAAAAAGUAUUUGGUACGAAAAGAGUUCGAAUGUUUGGAAUGAUGAAAUACCUGAAAAAUCACAUAAAAGAUGUCAAGUGACAUUCCUUAAAAUUAAGGUUAUAAAAGAUUUUUUUAGCUUCAUCAGACAAUUUGCAGCGAUAUGUUUAAUGUGACAAAUUUGAAUUUGGAUAUUAUAAUUUGCUUGUCAAUAUUAAAUGUUGUUGUUGUUACUAAUAGUAAAUUACUGGUACUUUAUAAAAUUUUGUAAUAACAUUGUAUAGAAAUAAUGUU